UACAUGCAAUGCCCAAACCACAUGGUCUUCAUUAUUGCGGCUUAGUAGGAAAUCUUUUGAUCAGGUGGUACUAGUCCUUCACCUUUGGUCUUCUCUAGACUCACCGUGAGAGGUCUGUGUGAAGCUGAGAGUCUCUUCUGGUGAGGGCGCCAUAGAACAGGCAUUUUCACGUGCCCCCGGAGCUCGCGCCCUGGGAUAAGGUCAGGCUGCACCCGCGCCAGCCCACAAACCUCCAGAGAAGAGAGAAGACGGCUGAGCGAGAACCAGGAAGCGAGGUCUCCCCAGACACCUGAUUUUCCGGUGCCCUGAUGUCACGCUUCCCAGCGUCCAGAACCGCGUGAGAUAAAUAUCUGUCGUUUCUAAGCCACCCAAUCCACAGGGUUCUGUUAUCGAAGCCCGAACAGACCACGAUGGAAGCUGACUCCCUGUCCCUUUGGGACCCGAAGAACCUACCAAGGUGGCUGUGCUUUUGAAAGGAGGACAAAAAAUAAGUCAGUGGGAGAUCGUUCCCGAAUUAUGUUACACAAAGAGGCUUUACGUUAAGAUACUUUACACAAUAAAAGAGAUAGCCACAAAACAAUUAAUAAAAUGCUCCCUACAAAAGAAAAGAAGAUA